AUUGAACGCUGGCGGCAUGCCUUACACAUGCAAGUCGAACGGCAGCACGGGAGCAAUCCUGGUGGCGAGUGGCGAACGGGUGAGUAAAGUAUCGGAACGUGCCCAGUCGCGGGGGAUAACGUAGCGACAGUUACGCUAAUACCGCAUACGAUCUAUGGAUGAAAGCGGGGGAUCGCAAGACCUCGAGCGAUUGGAGCGGCCGAUAUCAGAUUAGGUAGUUGGUGGGGUAAAGGCUCGCCAAGCCGACGACCUGUAGCUGGUCUGAGAGGACGAACAGCCACACUGGGACCUAGACACGGCCCAGACUCCUACGGGAGGCAGCAGUGGGGAAUUUUGGACAAUGGGCGAAAGCCUGAUCCAGCCACGCCGCGUGCAGGAUGAAGGCCUUCGGGUUGUAAACUGCUUUUGUACGGAACGAAAAGGUUUGGCCUAAUAAGCUGAGCCCAUGACGGUACCGUAAGAAUAAGCACCGGCUAACUACGUGCCAGCCGCCGCCGUAA
rnacentral:rRNA from 1 species